GGGCUGCUCAGAGUUUAGUCAUAUCAGGAAAUAGAACAGAUUCAGCCAUGGCCCCAAGGAAGAGAGGUGGACAGGGUAUUUCGUUCAUCUUCUGCUGUUUCCAAAAUAAUGAUCACCCAGAAAUCACGUAUCAGCUGUGAAACGAUAGCAACUUUGUGCUUCAGACCAUGGAACCAGCAUUGCCCAUGCCCCCUGUGGAGGAGCUAGACGUCAUGUUCCAUGAACUGGUGGAUGAACUUGACCUCACAGAUAAACACAGGGAAGCUAUGUUUGCACUUCCAGCUGAGAAAAAAAAUGGCAAAUAUAUUGUAGCAAGAAAAAGGACCAGGAAGAAAACAAGGGAGCUACAAGUUGGCCUGAAUUCUACAUCGAUCAGCUCAAUUCCACGGCUGUUAGAAAAUCUCUGCUGGCUUUAGAGAAGGAAGAAGAAGAAGAGAGAAGUAAAACUACAGAGAGUUUGAAGACAGCACUAAGGACAAAACCAAUGAGGUUUGUAACCAGAUUCAUCAACUUGGAUGGCCUGUCAUGUAUUCUCAACUUUCUAAAGACCAUGGACUACGAGACCUCAGAGUCUCGAAUACAUAGCUUUCUCAUUGGAUGUAUAAAGGCGCUAAUGAACAACUCUCAAGGUCGGGCUCAUGUCCUGGCUCAUUCUGAGAGUAUUAAUGUAAUUGCUCAGAGUCUGAGCACAGAGAACAUUAAGACAAAGUUGGCCGUGGUGGAAAUCUUGGGCACCGUGUGCCUGGUUCCUGGGGGCCACAAGAAGGUUCUGGAGGCCAUGCUGCACUACCAGAAGUACACCAGUGAAAGAACCUGUUACCAGACAUUAAUUAAUGACUUGGAUAAAAGCACAGGGCGGUAUCGAGAUGAAGUGAGCCUGAAGACGGCCAUCAUGCCCUUCAUCAGCGCAGUGCUAAGCCGAGGUGCAGGCAUGGAGAGUUUGGACUUCAGACUUCAUCUUCGCUAUGAAUUUCUGAUGUUAGGAAUUCAACCUGUGAUAGAUAAAUUAAGGGAACAUGAAAAUUCAACAUUAGAUAGGCAUUUAGACUUUUUUGAAAUGCUCCGAAAUGGAGAUGAACUAGAAUUUGCCAAAAGAUUUGAACUGGUUCACAUAGACACCAAAAGUGCAACUCAGAUGUUUGAGUUGAUGAGGAAGCGGCUGACGCACAGCAAAGCAUACCCUCACUUCAUGUCCAUCCUGCACCACUGCAUCCAGAUGCCUUACAAGAGGAGUGACAACACUGUUCAGUACUGGCUACUACUAGAUAGAAUCAAUCAUACAGCAAAUAGUUAUCCAAAAUGACAAAGGGCAAGAUCCUGACUCCACACCUUUGGAGAACUUUAAUAUUAAGAAUGUUGUACGAAUGUUGGUUAAUGAAAAUGAAGUUAAGCAGUGGAAAGAACAAGCAGAAAAAAUGAGAAAAGAGCACAAUGAGCUACAACAGAAAUUGGAAAAGAAAGAACGAGAAUGUGAUGCCAAGGCCCAAGAGAAAGAAGAGAUGAUGCAGACCUCAAAUAAAAUGAAAGAGAAACUUGAAAAGGAGACCACAGAGCACAAGCAAGUCAAGCAGCAGGUGGCAGACCUCAUGGCGCAGCUCCAGGAGCUCAGCAGGAGGGGCGUCUGUGCUUCAAUCCCAGGUGGACCUUCGCCUGGAGCCCCAGGGGAACCCUUUCCUUCCUCUGCGCCUGGGUCUCUUCUUCUUCCCCCACCGCCCCCACCUCUCCAAGGUGGAAUGCUCCCUUCUCCUCCACCUUCCCUGCCCCCGGGGGGCCCUCCUCCUCCCCCAGGGCCUCCUCCCUUAGGGGGACUUAUGCCACCUCCUGGUGCUCCAGUGAGUCUGGCACUCAAGAAGAAGAACAUUCCUCAACCCACAAAUGCCCUGAAAUCCUUCAAAUGGUCUAAGCUGCCUGAGAACAAACUGGAAGGAACAGUGUGGACCAAAUUGAUGAUUCAAAAGUCUUCAAAAUUCUAGAUCUUGAAGACCUGGAAAGGACUUUCUCUGCCUACCAAAGACAGCAGAAAGAAGCAGAUGCCAUUGAUGACACACUGAGUUGCAAACUUAAAGUCAAAGAGCUUUCGGUGAUUGGUGGUUGGAGAGCUCAGAAUUGCAACAUCCUUCUCUCAAGGUUGAAAUUAUCCAAUGAUGAAAUCAAACGAGCAAUUCUAACAAUGGAUGAACAAGAAGAUCUGCCCAAGGACAUGUUGGAACAGGUUUUGAAAUUUGUUCCUGAAAAAAGUGACAUUGACCUGUUGGAAGAACAUAAACACGAGCUGGAUCUGAUGGCCAAGUCUGAUAGAUUUCUUUUUGAGAUGAGCCGAAUUAAUCAUUAUCAGUAAAGAUUGCAAUCGCUAUACUUCAAAAAGAAGUUUGCAGAGCGCGUGGCAGAAGUGAAACCUAAAGUGGAAGCAAUUCGUUCUCGCUCAGAAGAGGUGUUUAGGAGCAGUUCCCUCAAGUAGUUGCUAGAGGUGGUUUUGGCAUUUGGAAAUUAUAUGAAUAAAGGCCAAAGAGGAAAUGCAUAUGGAUUCAAGAUCUCCAGUCUAAAUAAGAUGGCUGACACAAAAUCCAGUAUUGACAAGAACAUUACCCUUUUGCACUAUCUCAUAACUAUUGUGGAAAAUAAAUGCCCCAAUGUUCUUAAUCUGAAUGAAGAAUUGUAGGAUAUUCCUCAAGCCGCAAAAAUAAACAUGACUGAGCUGGACAAAGAAAUAAGUACCUUGAGAAGUGACUUGAAAGCAGUAGAGACAGAGCUGGAAUAUCAGAAGUCUCAGCCCCCACAGCCCGGAGAUAAGUUUGUGUUCGUUGUCAGCAAGUUCAUCACAGUAGCCAGCUUCAGCUUCUCUGAUGUUGAAGAUCUUCUAGCAGAAGCCAAAGACCUGUUUACUAAAGCAGUGAAGCAUUCUGGGGAAGAAGCUGGCAAAAUACAGCCAGAUGAGUUCUUUGGCAUUUUUAAUCAGUUUCUUCAAGCUGUGUCAGAAGCCAAACAAGAGAAUGAAAGCAUGAGAAGGAAGAAGGAAGAAGAAGAGCGUCGAGCUCGCAUGGAAGCUCAGCUCAAAGAGCAACGUGAAAGGGAACGUAAAAUGAGAAAAGCAAAAGAGAACAGCGAAGAAAGCAGAGAGUUCGAUGACCUCAUUUCAGCAUUACGCUCAGGAGAAGUGUUUGACAAAGACCUUUCCAAAUUGAAACAGAAUCGCAAAUGCAUUACCAACCAGAUGACGGACAGCAGCCGAGAGAGACCAGUCACAAAACUUAAUUUCUAGUUUUCCAUGAAUACUUUUCUAGAAAGCGCAUUAGUAGCCCUUUGAAGUGACUAGAACUUUUUAUUACACUGCCUUGCAAUCCAAACGGUGGCAAUUUCUUCCCUCAUCUGUGAGUGAAUGUGUGUAUGUAAAUGUAUGCAUGUGUAUAUAUAUAUGUAUUAAAAAGUGCAUAUAGAAGUCUGAGUGUUGUCUGGAGACCUAUAUGUAUAGCUAAAAAAUUUUGUUAAUGUAUGUGCUCAGAAACCCUUCGUGUAUGCAUUCACAUUGAGUGUGGCUCAUUUUCUCUCCCUGAACACCGUGACUAUUCAGAAGCACAAUAUUAUCUCCUGAAAGAGAUGACAGAGACAUUCCCUAGAGUAUAUUAAAAAAAGAAAAGGCUUGCAGAAUAUUUUAUGGUUUCCAAGCUUGGUAUACUCUGAAAUUAUUUUCAUUGGUGGAACUGGAGUUGGACAAAUGUAGAUGUAAAAUGGUUUUUGAUAGUUGACAAUGUGAUGCUGGUGCAUCGCAUCAGUAAUAAGUAGGACCAGCUUAGAAUUUCUGACAUUGGUGUGGGGAUACAGUCUGUAAAUAUUUAUUAAGAACAUCUUGCACACAAUGUGAAUCAUGUAGAAUGUCAAUCAGAAUUUUUCUGUAUAUUUAAAACUUGGACAUCAAUUUUUCCCCCCAAUUUCAUCAAGUUCUCUGCCAAGUACUCUUGAUGACUUCUUUAAAUUGCUUUUGAAAAGAACACUAUCUUCAUGCAAUCCACACUCUUGUCAAAGAAAAAGAUUACCAGAAUGUGCUUCUUGUUCUAACAAUAUAGAUAUAUAUAAACCUGUAAAAUAAAAUAUCCUACCCAAGACUUAAAGGUAGAAUUCUCUGAAGGGAUA